rnacentral:rRNA from 1 species
CAGCACCUCAAGUGGUCAGGAUGAUUAUUGGGCCUAAAGCAUCCGUAGCCGGCUCUGUAAGUUUUCGGUUAAAUCUGUAUGCUCAACAUACAGGCUGCCGGGAAUACUGCAGAGCUAGGGAGUGGGAGAGGUAGACGGUACUCGGUAGGAAGGGGUAAAAUCCUUUGAUCUAUUGAUGACCACCUGUGGCGAAGGCGGUCUACCAGAACACGUCCGACGGUGAGGGAUGAAAGCUGGGGGAGCAAACCGGAUUAGAGACCCGCGUAGUCC